rnacentral:tRNA from 1 species
GCGAAAGUGGUGGAAUUGGUAGACACGCAGGCUUCAGGCGCUUGUGGAGUAAUCUAUGUGGGUUCGAGUCCCAUCUUUCGCACCA